rnacentral:lncRNA from 1 species
UUGCAAUGAUGCUUUCCACUCACUUUGAUCUUCACUAUUCUUCAAUUAUUUUGAUUUCUCUUGAAGCAAUCUCUUUCCAUUUCACCAAUUUAAUUUUGAAGUGAUGUGAAUAGGAAAUAAUGUUUUUGAGUAGAUAAUGGGAGGAAAAGAUAGAAACAAUAUUUAGUACACUUUCUUGUACCACCCGCAAGUUUGGGAUAGUAAAUUGCCAUGAAUCCUAGUGGUUUGAUGAAAAGUUAAAGUUGAAUAAAAAUCUGUGUUAAGAGGGAAUUUUUUGGAAGUUGAUAUGAAUGUGCUCUCUUUGAUUCAAUAAAAAAAAAAUUGUUGUCUUUCAUAAAAAAAAACUGAUGCCUUUUCAUUUAAAAUAAACACCAAAAAGUAACGCCUUUAUUAAUAGGUAUAGAUUAAAAACAUCGAGACUCAUUUUGUUUAUGAAAACGAUGAGUUUGAUUACGAUGAUAUGAAUCUUACUCAUUAAGAUGUUACUAAUAUGAUUUUCUUCUUCCCCACCUUCAAGGACAAGUUGGUUGAUGCAAGCGGGAUGAGGCCAAUAGAAACACCAACCAUAAAACAAUUAUAGGGGUCGCGAAUGGAGGUCAUCAAUUCAACACAUGCUGCUUUUGGGUAUCCUGGGUUUCAGAGAAGGAAAAGGGUUCGUUGAAAAAGGGAAGAUGAGUUCGAUGAAGAAUAAGAGAAGAAGGGUUCUAUGAAGAAUAGAAGAAUGGAGUAAUUGUAUGCUUCUGGUUAAUAAAUUGUUUUGAGUUUUUGCAGAAAUUAUGCGUUGGUCGCCGACACGGUUGCAGCGGUUUCCGGUGCGGUGGUCGCCGGUGAAAGUUCUCCGAUCCCAAAAUAAAUAUAUGGGUUUUGUUGCAGACAUGAUGGGGAAGAAUAAAAUCAUAUUAGUUUUUUGAAUGGAGAUUUGCGGUGGCCGGAAAGUAAGAGAGAAGGUGGUGGUUAGGGUUUUUAAAAUCUUACCAAUCUAAUAAUAAGUUGGUGGCUUUUUGAAGAGGAAGAGUAGAGUAGUCCAAUGGUGGUGGUGGUGUGGUAAAACGAAGUUGGACGGUGGAGUAAUGGUGCUGAAGUAUUUUGAUGGUGGUUCAAGAGGGAGAAGAUGAUGAGCGUAUAGAGAAGAAGAAAGAGGAGAUAGUUAUGUUUUUUUUUUUGGCAGUAAAAUAAUAAUAAUAAUGAUAAUUAUCAUAUGUUGUGAGUCCAGGGUAUGUAAUGUGUGCUUUUUAAAUCCAGUCGUUGAUCACAUAUAUUAACUGACACGUGGAAAAGAGUUAAUAGAUUUUGCAAAAUAUUAACGAAGAGGUCCAAAAUAGUAAACGACAUAAGAUUUAUGGGACCAAAUUAAGACAUUUUAUACUUAGAGGACCAAAUUGAAAAUCAAAAAUAAGUUAAGAGACCUAAUAAUGUAUUAAGCUAUAAAUUUAUUAUGUUUCUUUUUAUUUUUUGACAAAAAUUUUAUUAUGUUUCUUGAUUUUUAAAUAAUUACUUAUUUCCUUAAAAAUAAUGGAGAAAACUUAGGUGCAAUUCCUUAG